GUGAAAAAGAUGGCAUCCUCAAUUUUCAUAUUGGGUGCACUUUUAGGAUUAAUGUGUGUUCAAUCUGUCCAAGCACUGACAUGUCUAAACUGUACAAGCAUCUCUGAAGAACAGCCAAGCUGCCCUGAGGAUGAUAUUCAACCGGUGAUUUGUGGAGGGCGGUUCACCCAUUGUAUUCGGAUUGUAUUGAACAAGCCAGCCUUCGGUGAAAUUCGAAGAUGUGCUACUACAAAGGAAUGCGAGGCUUCAGUUACCGACAUUGUUGAACGCUCGUGCUGCAAUGAUAAGGACGAGUGUAAUGUUGCAUCUAGUUGAUACAAAUAGAUGACAGUCUAUGCCAUAUAAAUGCAUUUUAGGAAUAUUGUAUAAUCUAUAUUGCUUUCAAUUUAUUUAUUUAUUGAUCGAUUGGCAGAUUGGUCAAUUUAUAAUAAAUAAAUAAUCUUCAUAAUCAGUCUUCAAUGAUAUCUCGGCAAAGAAAAUAACUUCUGGUUCUCAUAAUUUACGGAAUUAAAGGAAUUCCUGUGUUGCAAGCAUCAGGAGAGCAAAGGCUGAUUAUUUCCUGCAUAUUGUUUUAUGGACAUCCCUUCCUGAUGCAUUUUGAUCAAUUUUAUUUUGGAAGGCAAUUUAGUUGGUAGAAAUGUUGAUGCUUUUUCUAAAAGCUGCUUUUCUGAUUUGAAACCCAUUCAAACUAUUAUUUAUUUAGAUAAUGUGUUAAUUAUAAAUGUUAAUAAUUAUACAGCAAGAAAUGAAGAUUUUUCCUUCUAUCUUUUCAUGGAAAGAGAGGUCACUGAUGCUCUUAAAAUGGGCAAGAAAAAGUAAAUAGGAGCUGACGUCUAGAAGCUGGGCUAUGGUUCUGGAUGCCCCUAUUAUUUCUAAUUCAAUAACUAGUUUUAUUUUAACUAUCACUACUGGCAGUAUUCCAUUCGCUGGAGAGUAUUUUAUGUUGUCCUGCUCCAUAAAGGUGGUUAUCUAUUAACCAUGAUAAUUACUGGACAAUUUAAAAACCUCCUAUAACAAUGCUAUAUGCUAUAUGCUAUAUUAGGCACUUUGAGUGUGUGAAAAGCGCUAUAUAAAUUGAAUCUAUUAUUAUUAUUAUUAUUAUUAUAUACUAAAGAAAACAAGAAGUCCCCUAGUAUGGAUUGGUUACCGGGAAA